UACGGGGGGGGCAAGCGUUGUUCGGAAUUACUGGGCGUAAAGGGCGCGUAGGCGGUUUGUUAAGUUUGAUGUGAAAACUCUGGGCUUAACCCAGAGCCUGCAUCCAAAACUGGCAGGCUAGAGUUUUGGAGGGGGAAGCGGAAUUCCUGGUGUAGCAGUGAAAUGCGUAGAUAUCAGGAGGAACACCAAUGGCGAAGGCAGCACUCUGGGACGGUACUGACGCUGAGACGCGAAAGCGUGGGGAGCAAACAGG
rnacentral:rRNA from 1 species